rnacentral:rRNA from 1 species
UCGGUACAAAGAGACGCAAAGUCGCGAGGCGGAGCAAAUCUCAAAAGCCGAUCCCAGUUCGGAUUGCAGGCUGCAACUCGCCUGCAUGAAGUUGGAGUUGCUAGUAAUCGCGGAUCAGAAUGCCGCGGUGAAUGCGUUCCCGGGUCUUGUACACACCGCCCGUCACACCACGGAAGUUGGGGGUGCCCAAAGUUGGCAGGAUAAUAUGUUACCUAAGGCAAAACCGAUGACUGGGGUGAAGUCGUAACAAGGUAUC